UGGGAAUUACAGUCUCACAGGACCUGAUGUGGGAGACGAACAUCAACUCGCUUCUUCUUUUCCUUUCGGCUUGUCCCGUUAGGGGUCGCCACAGCGUGUCAUCCCUUUCCAUCGAAGCCGAUCUCGUGCAUCUUCUUCUCUAACACCCACUGUCCUCAUGUCGUCCCUCACAACAUCCAUCAACCUUUUCUUUGGUCUUCCUCUCGCUCUUUUGCCUGGCAGCUCCAUCCUCAGCACCCUUCUACAAAUAUACUCACUCUCUCGUCUCUGAACAUGUCCAAACCAUCUAAGGCAGCUCUCUCUAACCUUGUCUCCAAAACAUUCAACUUUGGCUGUCCCUCUAAUGAGGUCAUUUCUAAUCCUAUCCAACCUGUUCACUCCAAGUGAGAAUCUCAGCAUCUUCAUUUCUGCUACCUCCAGUUCUGCUUCCUGUUGUUUCUUCAGUGCCACCGUCUCUAAUCCGUACAUUAUGGCCGGCCUGACCACGGUUUUAUAAACUUUACCCUUCCACCUAGCGGAGACUCCUCUUUCGAAUAGAACACCAGACACCUUCCGCCAACUGUUCCACCCCGCUUGGACCCGUUUCUUCACUUCUUCACCACACUCUCCAUUGCUCUCUAGUGUUGAACACACGUAUUUGAAGUCAAAUCAAAUCAAAAGCCUUUAAUGUCAUUAUAUCCUGUGCAUACAACAAAAGGAUGAAUGCUUCCCCACAAGGUGCAAGGUGCAAUAAAAAAGAACAAAAAUCAAAGAGCAUCUAAAAACAACAGAUAAACGUCAAGGGACAGUUAUUGCUAAAAUCGUCUUCUUCUUCCUUCAGCUUGUCCCGUUAGGGGUCGCCACAGUGUGUCAUCUUUUCCCAUCUAAGCCUAUAUCGUGCAUCCCCCUCUCUAACACCUACUGUCCUCAUGUUCUCCCUCACAACAUUAAUCUGCCUUUUCUUUGGUCUUCCUCUCACUCUUUUGCCUGGCAGCUCCAUCCUCAGCACCCUUCUACCAAUAUACUUACUCUCUCACUUCUGGACAUGUCCAAACAAUCGAAGUCUGCUCUCUCUAACCUUGUCUCCAAAACAUCCAACUUUGGCUGUACCUCUUAUGAGCUAAUUUCUAAUCCUAUCCAACCUGCUCACUCCUAGAAAGAGCGAGAACCUCAGCGUCUUCAUUUCUGCUACCUCCAGUUCUGCUUCCUGCUUUUCCUUCAGAGCCACCCUCUCUAAUCCGUACAUCAUGGCCGGCCUUACCACCAUUUUAUAAACUUUGCCCUUCAUCCUAGCCCAGACCCUUCUGUCAAAUAGAACAUCAGACACUUUCCGCCAACUGUUCCAUCCCGCUUGUACCGAUUUAUUGACUUCCUUACCACACUCACCAUUGCUCUGUAUUGUUGACCACGAGUAUUUGAAGUCAUGCACCCUCACUGUCUCUUCUCCCUGGAGCUUUACUCUUCCUCCUCUUCCCCUCUAAUUAUAUCACAUAUAUUCUAUUUUACUUCGGCUAAUCUUCAUUCCUCUCCUUUCGAGUGUGUGCCUCCAUCUUUCUAAUUGUUCCUCCACCUCCUCCCUGCUUUCACUGCAGAUCACAGUAUCAUCUGCGAACAUCAUAGUCCAAGGGGAUUCCAGUCUAACCUCGUCUGUCAGCCUAUCGAUUACUACCACAAACAGGAAAGGGCUCAGCACGUAUCCCUGAUGCAGUCCCACCUCCACCUUAAAUUCUUCUGACACAUCUAUGGCACAUCUUACCGCUGUUCUGCUGUCCAUAUUUCUCUGCCACACCAGACUUGCGCAUGCAGUAUCACAGUUCCUCUCUUGGUAUUCUGUCAAAGGAUUUCUCUAGGUUUACAAAAACACAAUGUAUCUCCUUCUGACCUUCUCUGUACUUUUCCACGAGCCUCGUCAAGGCAAAUAAUGCAUCUGUGGUACUUUUCCUAGGCAUGCAACCAUACUGUUGCUCGCAGAUACUUACUUCUGUCCUGUGUCUAGCCUCUACUUCUCUUUCCCAUAACUUCAUUGUUUGGCUCAUCUUUAUUCCUCUAUAGUUUCCACAGCUCUGAACAUCUCCUUUGUUCCUAAAAAUGGGGACUACCACACUAUUCCUCCAUUCUUCUGGCAUCUUCUCUCCCGCUAGUAUUCCAUUGAAUAAGGUGGUCAAAAACUGCUAUUGCUAAAAUAAAUAAAUAAAUGCACAAGUGCAGUUACAUAAUAUUCCAUUACAGUACUGUUAUAUUCAGUGGUUUUCAGUUCAAGGAGUUGAUGGCUCUGGGGAAAAAGCUGUCCUUGAAUUUGGUUGUCCGUGUUUUGUGUGACCUGUACCGCUUGCCAGAGCACAGCACUUUAAACAGGUGAACGUCAGGAUGUGGAGAGUCCUUUUCAAUAUUAGUGGCUCUGCUGUGAUACCAGGAGUUGGCAAUUUCCUCUAGGGAGGGCAGAGAACAGCCAGUGAUUUUCUGGUCACUGUUGACACCUUUUUGCAGAGCUUUCCUGUCUGCUACUGUGCAUCCAGCAUACCACACUGUGAUGCAGUCUGUGAGGAUGCUCUCCACGGUGGUUAUGAAGAAAGCCUGUAGCACUUUAGCUUCCAAGUUGUUCUUCCUGAGCACUCUCAGGAAGUGGAGUCACUGCUGGGCCUUUUUCACCCCCACGGUGGUAUUUACAGUCCAGGUGAGUAGCAUUUGCAACAGUGUUCUAGUCAGCUGUUCUACAGGGUUUCCCUGCGGGUGAUAUGGGGUAUUUCGAGAACGGGGAAUGCCAGACAGCUGCAUACAUACAAGGUGAUCCUUGGGACAUUACAUCCACACAUAUAUACGCAGCAAGAGAGGGUGUAGCAGCAUCCUGCUCUCUUGGACCAGAUCAAAUGACAUAGUUCAAAAUGCAGGUAGAGUUGCUCUGUCUCCAGGACACGAGGCCCAGAAGCUGGGUCCUAUGGUGAAACGACUAACUUUAAAUGACUGACUGGGAGAACACACCACUCCCUAACGUACAGACCUCCAAUUCUGCGGAUGCUAAUAACUAAUAUGACCAUAUUAGAACAUGAGACCCUAACUAGAGAACACAGACAUGACUACUCUGACCAUGACGACGCCGAGUCAUUGUUAAAUUAACUGCCUAAAUCAGUUUGGUCUUCUGGAGCCUAUGAUGUUGGAGAUUUUACUAAGACACCAGACAUUAAAAUCACUGUUUUCCCAGGUUAUCAUGUUUACAGACCUCAAUAUCCGGCUGCUCACCAGGGGAUGGAGGACACUCUCACUGGGCUGUGGAAUUCUGGAGUCUUGGAAACAUCCACUUCCUCGUGGUGUACACAACUCAGGCCAGUUUUAAAAGCAGAUGGUAACACUUAUCGUAUGGCGCAUGAUUUGAGAGCCAUUAAUGAUGUAACGACCACACCAUUGUUACCUGUACCAGACCGCCACAUAAUGUUGUCUACCAUCACACCCAAUUUGAAAUACUUCACAGCGACUGAUUUGGCAAAUGCAUUCUUCUGUGUCCCACUCGCACCUGAUUGUAGACACUUGUAAACUCCUGAUGUAUGUUGAUGACCUUCUGUUAGCAGCCCCAACAGCAGAGUUGUGUUUAUCUCUAGCAAAACUCGAUUUGCUUCGUCUGCAUGAGCUGGAAUUCUAAGCUUCCAGAAAGAAGCUUCAGUGUUGUCGCAAAUCGGUACCCUUCUUGCGCAGAGUUGGGUCCUUUGAAGGAUUCACUAUGUCCUCGGAACAUCGUUCUUCUAUUCUUCAGAUUCUCUUCAUCCACGUGCUGAUCUCUCUGUCCAACCUCGGACUAACAGGAGGGUUCUGGUCAAUGAUAGUUGCUGUUACCCCCAGGCAGCGGAAGUGCUCGCACCGGAACUGGCGGUCGGACAAUCUGUCACUGUCUAUUCUGACUCAUCUUACGCUGUCUUGGCUGCUGUGUUGGACCUGUCUGCAUGGAAACGGAGUGACUUUAAAACAGCCAAAGAUGGCCUGAAGCCUACCCCUGCGCUCGGGAAGACGCCAUGUCAGUAAUGAAAGCUUUGGUGAACCACUGGAUUCCAACGCACGGUUUCCCUGCUCCCAUCCGCUUGGACAACGAUGAUCUGGCUGUUGCUCCUGAACACUUCAAGGAAGCUCUUGGCCCAUUACACCGUUCACGUAGGUCCAAGCCUACCUGGCUCAGUGCGGACGAUCCCACCUACUUUGACGCUAUUGGCGUCCCCCGUGGUGUCCCAGAUGAAUACAAACUGGCUGAUCAGGACUUGAAGCUGUACAUGAGCAACUUAAGGCUGCAUCUAUUAUGGCUUUCGAAAAUAGAAUCGCAUUGGAUGCCCUGUUGGCCAAGAAAGGAGGUGUUUGCCGAAUAACACACAACCUGGCAACCUUAGAACCCUUACUAAGAAAAUGAAGAAACACUCUGGUGUUGACGCGUCUGUGGGAUAACUGGAUGAAUGUGUUUGGUAAAUGGAAGGGUGUCAUUUCAUUAAUCUUCAUCUCUCUGGCUGUCUUCACCUCUAUUCUCACCCUUUGCGGAUGCUGUUGCAUUCCUUGUAUUCAUUCUCUUUUAACCUGUCUGAUUGAGAAGGCGCCUGGUGCCCAAGCUGGUGGCCGCGGAAAUUAUGUCCUCAUUAUACCCCCGCCCCGACACACUCCUCAAGAUGAUUUUACUGUUUCUAUCCCUCCCCUUGAAAAUGAUACUAAACUUCCACCGCUUCCUGAUUGUCAUAAUGUUGACAUGCCCCGUGAUUGCAUGGCCCUUGCCCUUCUGUUCUACUGAUACUUUUUGCAUGAUGUUACUUUUUUAGAAAUGUUUUACUGUUUUUGAGCUGUCUAGUACUGUCCUGCAGGUUUCAAGCUUACGGGUGUUCUGAAUCAUGUGACUAUGCACUUGUUGCACCCAUUUUUACCAUGGACCCAUGCAUAUAAAAACCUUGUGUUACUGGGCAGCGCUUGUCUUCUUCUUUGGCUAUCCUGCCAGAAGACACACAUCUCGUGUACGGCAGAUACCUAGAUAAGACCCGGACGUCUGUAUUGCA